rnacentral:lncRNA from 1 species
AUAGAUUAAUAUAGUAUUUAAUUAAUAUAUUAUAAAUUAUUUUAUUAUUUAUAAAUUAUAAUUUAUUUUAUAAUUUAUUUUAAUUUAUAAUUAUUUUAUAAAUUAAUAUAGUAUUUAAUUAAUAUAUUAUAAAUUAUUUUAUUAAUUUAUUGAGUAGUUUUUCUUUUCUAUACAAGUAGUCAAUAUUGUCAUAGGUAUGACAUCAAUUGGACCUUCAAUUUGGAAGAGAUAAGAUUAUGCAUCCUCUCUAGAUUUGGAAGAAUGCUAUAAUCUUGGUAAAUGAUAAAAUUUUUUAAAUUAUUUAAUUUGUUAUUUUAUAAUAUAAUUAAUUUCAUACUGCUUUGUUUAUUCUUUAUUUUUUUACACUUUAUUUAUUUAUUUCUCCAUGCUUAUGUGACAGAAGAUCAUAUCGACAGUGUUU